UUUGAUCCUGGCUCAGAACGAACGCUGGCGGCAGGCUUAACACAUGCAAGUCGAGCGCCCCGCAAGGGGAGCGGCAGACGGGUGAGUAACGCGUGGGAAUCUACCCUUGACUACGGAAUAACGCAGGGAAACUUGUGCUAAUACCGUAUGUGUCCUUCGGGAGAAAGAUUUAUCGGUCAAGGAUGAGCCCGCGUUGGAUUAGCUAGUUGGUGGGGUAAAGGCCUACCAAGGCGACGAUCCAUAGCUGGUCUGAGAGGAUGAUCAGCCACAUUGGGACUGAGACACGGCCCAAACUCCUACGGGAGGCAGCAGUGGGGAAUAUUGGACAAUGGGCGCAAGCCUGAUCCAGCCAUGCCGCGUGAGUGAUGAAGGCCCUAGGGUUGUAAAGCUCUUUCACCGGAGAAGAUAAUGAC
rnacentral:rRNA from 1 species